UAUGAAAGAUUAACUUCUGCGAAAGCAUCUGCCAAGGAUGUUUUCAUUAAUCAAGAACGAAAGUUAGGGGAUCGAAGACGAUCAGAUACCGUCGUAGUCUUAACCAUAAACGAUGCCGACCAGCGAUUAGGAGACGUUGAAUACAAAACACCACCAUCGGUGCGGUCGUCCUUGGCGUCGGUCUUUCGGGGCCGGCGCGGGGACGGCUUAGCCCGGUGGCACCGGUGAAUGACUCCCCUAGCAGCUUGUGAGAAAUCAUAAGUCUUUG
rnacentral:rRNA from 1 species